AGAAAGUGGGAGAGGGCAGCUAAACCAAGCUGUGCUGUUGGAAAGCAAGAUGCAGGUCAGUGGUGAGAAAAAGGAUGCACAGCAGGCUCUGUUGCUUUUUCAAUUUUUACUGAUGCAUGCUGCUUCACAGAAGACUUAUUUGGCUGUUCAGUGACAAGAGUACACAGAUCAUUAGUAUGCCUUGCUGUUAGUAUUGUUAAAGGCAAAGCUUUGCCAGCCUGAGGAACAAGAGGAGCUGUAACACAAUAUACCAUACAAAGACUGAUAGUUUCAAGGCGAAAUCUACAACCAGUGAAAGUAAAAAGACAGAUUUCACAUCUGAAGAUAUAGCUGCUCUGGGAUUCUGCUGAAGAUGCUAAGGAAAUCAAACAAAAAGAUACAUGUAUACAAGCAUGCAUGACUUCUUUUAAAAUAAUGAGAUGAAAUUAAAGGGGCAAAGGGAGAAGAAAGGAGUUAAUAUUCCCCUCAAGUGUUCUGCAUGCUCACUUCAUAAAAAUUAUUUCAAGCUAUAUACRUAUAUCCAGUAGAAGCUUCUCUUCUUAAGAAACAGUAUCUGGUUUUGUAGAAAAMAAGCUUUUCCAUGAAGACGGCAUGGUUGAGAUUGCUGAAGUGUGAAAGAAUCAACAGCAUGUYUAUUUACAAUAGUGCUACAGAAAAUGGGGUCAGAGCUCCCCAAGAGAGAUGUGGAAACCUCAAAGAUUUAAUGCUGAAAGGAACAGAUAAGUAAACAACUCAUUUGGAAACKAGCAAAUGAAAGGCACGCACAAUUUAUUCUUUUAUGAACUUCCUUGAUGGAUGGGUAUUACUGACUAGCGAGCUGCAAUAGUGAGUUUACUUAGCUCCUUACAGCAGAACUUCGUUUAUGGAUCUAAAAAUUCCUUCAUAGUAACAGUAUGAUGUUAUGAUGUAGCAACACCUGAUUAUAGCAGGGUUGUGAUGUAUCAUUCCUUAUAGCACCAUCCUGGAAUUCUUCCGGUCUCUUCUUUAUUUUAGCACAGGAAUAGGUGCACUUUUCUUAAAUGUGCAUUGUGCAUUUAAUUACAUUUCUUGAACUUAAACCUUUAACAGAAUUCAUAAGUUCACUCUCUCUCUCCUUUUGUUUUCCUGCUUUUUGGUUUUCUUCACUCCUAUCUUGGAUACUAAGUGGACGCUUGGACACUUUGAAGUCUGCAUUUAGUAUCUAACUUCUGCUAGACAUUCCAUAGAAAAGAUAGGUAAAUUUGAAAAAUUUAAAACUUAAAAGUGGCUUCCAGAAUCUCUAGUACUUUGUAAAAUAUAGAUGCAAUCGUGAAAAUAGAAAAUCUGUCCCCCUGAAAACAUACAACAAAGAGAAAACUCAAUAUUACUUAAAAUAUCUUACACAUAGGAAAAGUGAAAUCUGUCACCCCAAACUUCCCCAAGGCUACAAGGUUGUCUCUAGAAGGCAGAGGAAGAGGCUGAACAGACUAUCCCAGAAUACAAAUUAUCAGCUAGAGAGUAACAAAACUUUGCAAUAUCAGACAGCUGGUAUCUUUAUAGACUUCUCUUGACAGAAAAGAGCAAAAAGCAGGARCAGACCUGUGACUAUUGCAAGAGGAAGAGUUUUCCUAUCUUGAAUAUGUAUUAUUGAAUGACAGAAACAAAUCUACGAUAAUCUAGAUUAAAUGUCAUUGACACUUGAGAAUAGAAUAAUAAAACACUUUAGUAGGUAUGACAGCAAAAGCUAGCAGAAAAAAAAAUUGUUAUCUUAAGAGUGAGAUAGGUUUAGUUGGAUAUAAAUGACAUACAUGCUUUCAAGCAUUUCAAAAACAAAAAACAAACAAACAAAAAAACCCUAAGGCCUCAUGUACUUAUCUUAAGUGUAUAUUUGUUUAGGGUAAUACAACGGAAGUACAUAAAAUGUUAGUUGCCUGUGAGAAUUAACAAGAAAAAGGGUGAAAAUGGAACAGAGAGUAAGGCAAAAGGAAGAAAGGCAUAGUUUCAACUAUGAUCAGAAACUAAUAGCUUGAGAAUGCUGUCUAGGAGGAGAUCAAGUAGAAGAACUUUUCCUCAUGAAAAAAUUUAAAACAAUGGAAGAGAAAGAUAAAAAGGUCUCUAUUUUGUUCUACAAACUUGAUGACUAGGGAAAUGUCAUCAUACUGCAAAGYAGCCUGGUCCAUUACUUCUAAAUCACUGCUGACUUUGCUUAACUGCACCUUUCCCUGUUUCYUUCCUCUAGCUAGGCUUUUUCCUUUUUUCUGAAAAUGAUGACAGGAUCAUGAGAAAACGAUACAGACCAUCCAUCUCUGUUCAUGACUAAAAAUACUCUUUUAGAUUACUUAAAAAGAACAGGACAGCUGAUGUGCAGAUGUAAAUCAGAAGUCUAGAGUAUAGAUAACCUGCCGGCCAAAAGCAUCUACCUACACAAUGCUGAAAAAAGGA